AUUGAACGCUGGCGGCAGGCCUAACACAUGCAAGUCGAACGAGUGGCGGACGGGUUAGUAAUGUCUGGGAAACUUCCUGAUGGAGGGGGAUAACUACUGGAAACGGUAGCUAAUACCGCAUACCAUCGGAUGUGCCCAAAUGGGAUUAGCUAGUAGGGGGGGUAAAGGCUCACCUAGGCCACGAUCCCUAGCUGGUCUGAGAGGAUGACCAGCCACACUGGGACAGGGACACGGUCCAGAAUCCUACGGGGGGCAGCAGUGGGGAAUAUUGCACAAUGGGGGCAAGGCUGAGGCAGCCAUGCCGCGUGUAUGAAGAAAGCCUUCGGGUUGUAAAGUACUUUCAGCGGGGAGGCGUUACCCGCAGAAGAAGCACCGGCUAACUCCGUGCCAGCAGCCGCGGUAAUUC
rnacentral:rRNA from 1 species